rnacentral:tRNA from 1 species
GCCCCAGUAGCCCAAUUGGCAGAGGCGAAGGACUUAAAAUCCUUGAGUUGCGAGUUCGACUCUCGCCUGGGGCA